AAGAAAAAAAGCGAAACAAAAAAGAACAAGACCAGGAGGAUAAUUUUUCGUAUGAGAAAGAAAGUGGCGGCUCAGCAUCAUACUCUUCGAUGUUUCUUUAAUUUGUCGAUAUUUUCUCUUUCUUCUCUCUCUCUCUCUCCACCUCAUCUCCUGUGAUUCUGAAAAUGAAAGAA
rnacentral:ribozyme from 13 species